CUUUCCCUCUGGCGGCAGGCCUAACACAUGCAAGUCGAACGGUAACAGGAAGAAGCUUGCUUCUUUGCUGUCGCGUGGCGGACGGGUGUGUCAUGUCUGUGAAACUGCCUGAUGGAGGGGGAUAACUCCUGGAAACGGUAGCUAUUACCGCAUAACGUCUCAAGCCCAAAGAGGGGGACCUUCGGGCCUCUUGCCAUCGGCUGUGCCCAGAUGGGAUUAGCUAGUAGGUGGGGUAACGGCUCACCAAGGCGACGAUCCGUAGCUGGUCUGAGAGGAUGACCAGCCACACUGGAACUGAGGCACGGUCCAGACUCCUACGGGAGGCAGCAGUGGGGAAUAUUGCACAAUGGGCGCAAGCCUGAUGCAGCCAUGCCGCGUGUAUGAAGAAGGCCUUCGGGUUGUAAAGUACUUUCAGCGGGGAAGAAGAGAGGAAAGUUAAUACCUUUGCGCAUUGACGGUACCCGAAGAAGAAGCACCGGCUAACUCCGUG
rnacentral:rRNA from 1 species